AUUGAACGCUGGCGGCAGGCUUAACACAUGCAAGUCGAGCGGAGCGAGGGUGCUUGCACCUUAGCUUAGCGGCGGACGGGUGAGUAAUGCUUAGGAAUCUGCCUAUUAGUGGGGGACAACAUUCCGAAAGGAAUGCUAAUACCGCAUACGCCCUACGGGGGAAAGCAGGGGAUCUUCGGACCUUGCGCUAAUAGAUGAGCCUAAGUCGGAUUAGCUAGUUGGUGGGGUAAAGGCCUACCAAGGCGACGAUCUGUAGCGGGUCUGAGAGGAUGAUCCGCCACACUGGGACUGAGACACGGCCCAGACUCCUACGGGAGGCAGCAGUGGGGAAUAUUGGACAAUGGGCGGAAGCCUGAUCCAGCCAUGCCGCGUGUGUGAAGAAGGCCUUUUGGUUGUAAAGCACUUUAAGCGAGGAGGAGGCUACUUAGAUUAAUACUCUAGGAUAGUGGACGUUACUCGCAGAAUAAGCACCGGCUAACUCUGUGCCAGCCGCCGCCGUAAAAC
rnacentral:rRNA from 1 species